UGGACUAAUGAGGAGAGUGUGUCAAGAACCAAGAAAUGUGAUGAGUCGAAUUCUGUCCAUCUGAGGUCCUAG
rnacentral:snoRNA from 10 species